GUCAUUUGAAUAGUAAGGUUGAUUGUAGGGAGAUAUUGACUUUAAUGAUGAAAACGUAGAAUUUUUACGAAAAGGUUAGCAGAUUUAAGAGCCAGCCACGAAUUUGUAGUCGACAAAGUCAUUUCUGGGACUUGUUUCACAUUAUCGGGUUGUUUAUCAUGUGGGUACAUUUCAAAUGACGAGUACUGGUCGUCAGUUUGCUCAGGAGAUUUCAGAAUGACCCAUGGAAUGUCUUGAUCGUUGUUGAAAUAAGUUGUGGUGGGCGAACGGUCGUCGAUGAUGGCCACUGAAUUGUUUUUACAUUGGACGAUGGGAAGUAAGCGACUGAAUCCGACUAAUCUGACGGAUGCUGGCUGGAUUCAGGGGAUUGCGAGAUGAGCCAAGAUUUGUUUUCAGGAUUGUUAUCAUCAUUAGAAAUAGAUGGUUGUUUAGUUUGUGUGCUGUGUAAGUUGAAAGAGUUAUUGGUACUUUAGUAACGGGAAUUUGAUGUUUGAGACCAUGGGCUCAUUCGUCGUCGAGGCCGCACCCCAACGUGAGAAACGCCAACUGGGCGGCAUUUUGGGCGGACUCCUUGGAGGCGGAGGCUAUGGUCAACAGUACGGGGGUUAUGGCAAUCAAGGCUAUGGCAAUUACGGAGGGUAUAACCAAGGGUACAACCAAGGAAACGGCGGUGGACACCAUCAUCAUCACUCUCACGAAAGAUAUUAACAAUUCCUAUUACAACCCUGGUCCCACCUG